GACGAACCGUGCGAACGUUGUUCGGAAUCACUGGGCUUAAAGGGCGCGUAGGCGGCUCCGCAAGUCGGGGGUGAAAUCUUUCGGCUUAACCGGAAAAGUGCCUCUGAUACUGCGGAGCUCGAGGGAGGUAGGGGCGGACGGAACUUCCGGUGGGAGCGGUGAAAUGCGUUGAUAUCCACAGGAACUCCGGUGGCGAAGGCGGCACGCUGGACCCCUUCGUCGACGCUGAGGCGCGAAAGCCAGGGGAGCGAACGGG
rnacentral:rRNA from 1 species